UGGUGCCAGCCCCGGCGGUAAUACGUAGGUGUUAAGCGUUGUCUGGAAUUAUUGGGCGUAAAGGGCUCGCAGGCGGUUUCUUAAGUCUGAUGUGAAAGCCCCCGGCUCAACCGGGGAGGGUCAUUGGAAACUGGGAAACUUGAGUGCAGAAGAGGAGAGUGGAAUUCCACGUGUAGCGGUGAAAUGCGUAGAGAUGUGGAGGAACACCAGUGGCGAAGGCGACUCUCUGGUCUGUAACUGACGCUGAGGAGCGAAAGCGUGGGGAGCGAACAGGAUUAGAUACCCUGGUAGUCCACGCCGUAAACGAUGAGUGCUAAGUGUUAGGGGGUUUCCGCCCCUUAGUGCUGCAGCUAACGCAUUAAGCACUCCGCCUGGGGAGUACGGUCGCAAGACUGAAACUCAAAGGAAUUGACGGGGGCCCGCACAAGCGGUGGAGCAUGUGGUUUAAUUCGAAGCAACGCGAAGAACCUUACCAGGUCUUGACAUCCUCUGACAACCCUAGAGAUAGGGCUUUCCCUUCGGGGACAGAGUGACAGGUGGUGCAUGGUUGUCGUCAGCUCGUGUCGUGAGAUGUUGGGUUAAGUCCCGCAACGAGCGCAACCCUUGAUCUUAGUUGCCAGCAUUCAGUUGGGCACUCUAAGGUGACUGCCGGUGACAAACCGGAGGAAGGUGGGGAUGACGUCAAAUCAUCAUGCCCCUUAUGACCUGGGCUACACACGUGCUACAAUGGACAGAACAAAGGGCUGCGAGACCGCAAGGUUUAGCCAAUCCCACAAAUCUGUUCUCAGUUCGGAUCGCAGUCUGCAACUCGACUGCGUGAAGCUGGAAUCGCUAGUAAUCGCGGAUCAGCAUGCCGCGGUGAAUACGUUCCCAGGGCCUUGCACA
rnacentral:rRNA from 1 species